AUUUCAGUUAAGUCUGGCUUGAGCAUUAUUUUCAAGUAAAUAUUUAUAAUUUCAAUGCUAUUCCAUUGCUACCACUGCUGUCUUUGGAUUGGACCGACUGAAACAUUGUCUUGGAUUAGCCCGACUCCAUAGCAACAGGCCAGGAGAGGCUGCACCCUCCUUGCCUGUCCUUUCUGUGGCUGGGGAGGAGAGGAGGAGGUAUUUGGUGACACUCGCCAUCAGGACUUUGCAGCUCUCUUGCCAGAUAGCAGCUGAAUUGAAGAAUAUCCUUCCUUUGCCAUUUGGGCUCCAGUCCAUCAGGAUUUUUGCUGAUCACUUUGCACAUCUCAAUGAAUUUGACACACGGGCAUUUUUUUUUCUCUCUCUCUCUCCUCAUUCAGGAAGUGGAGAGCUGAGCCCUGAGAUUCUUUCUGCUCCGAUGAUAUAAACAAAUUGUAGAGGAAGUCAAGUCAAACUUUCCCUUGCUUCUUUUGUUCUCCCAAAUAGCAAUUCAGAAAACAGAGCCAACUUUUCUUGGAUGACUUUUAAAGAUUGCUCUUUAACUAGAAAGGCAGAAACCCUCUUGCUUUAUUUUGUAUCUGUAAAAACAAAGAUUCUCCUAAACAUAUUUUGUUUUCAAAAAAGCAGAAAUGCCCUAGAAGUUAAAAAAAAAAAAUAGCUGUUUUCUGAGACUUUUCAAACCAAAUUGCUCUUUUGUCAUUACACAGUUACCUAAUUGUUUUUUCUUUCCUUGACAAAUCUCCAGGCUAAAAUACAAACAAGAGAGCAAUAACGAUCUUUGCGUGGAUAAUAGCUAAACCUGAAUAGAAGCUUCCAGGGCCCUAAUACACAGCCAAGGAAAGCUAACAGUCAUGAUUCAAUAAAGGUGCCUUGUAAGGCAUGUGCCAGACAGAAAGGAGACACCAUAUCUGUGUAAUCUACAGACACUGCUUUAAACAUCACAUAAUUAAGUCCUUCCCAUGGUGGUGGCUACUUGAAGCUUUAUCAUUAGCUUGUAAGAUUUCAUCUCUGGGUUUCACCGAUGGUUCUGAGAAUGAACAUUUUCAAACCAGAGGCACCUGCUAAUCCAGGAGACAUACUCACCACGCCUAUUCUCGUCCUCCAGUGAAAGAAGCUCUAUGUUAAAUGACUGAAGGGAAACAGAAGGGAAUAUGUAACAAAAUAUAUACAGGAGCAGCCCCGGGGUGGCUUUCCAUGCUGAGUGUUCUAUUACAUUAAUCCUGGCACACAAAAAAUGCGACAGCCACAUGGAUAUCAAUAUGCCUGCAUUGUUUGUCUUCCAUCGGCCCUCUCUGUACACAGGCAUGCAUUUCCCUCGAGCAAUGAUCAGGCUGAGAAAGUGAUUUCAUUUACAUUGCAAAGGAGACAGAAAAACAAACAGAAAACCCAGAGGCCACGACUUCCCGGGAGUGCUCCAGAGUGUGUGUAUUGCUAGUAGAAGCUAUGUGCACCUCCACACCCCGGAACUAUUUUUGAAGCUUUGAUGUAGAAACGCACAAUACCUACAGCGACCUUAAAUUUCUGUAAAACAAAUAUAGCAUGCAUUGAUGCAAUUGCCAUAUAUUUAUAGAAUUCAACAAUUGCCUUCCACCAACUUUAUCAAAUAUCUGCUGCAUGGGGGCGGUGCUAGGACAGAAACAUAAACAGCUCUGAUUGGUCCAUUAUGCAGACGAAGCACAUGCUUCAAGGACCAGAAAAGCAGAGAGAACACCGUGCUCCUGCCUUACUGGCCAAAUGAUGCAACAAGAAAAUUCAGGAAAGUUAAUUUAAGUUUCAACAUACAGAUUUUUUUGUCCCUUGGAAGACACAGUUUUAAGUUUUAGUUGAGUUUUGUUUUCAUUUUUAUUUGGGUACAGGUCUUGGGAUAGUUCGGAUUUGUGUUCAGAAAAUUUUUACUCCUCCACACUUUGGAGGAAUACCCUUCCCUGACUUAGGGAUGUUGGACUUGGCCAUGUGACUAUUGGCCAGUAAGAUGUUAGCAAGCAUGAUGCCAUCAAGGUCACUGUGGAUUUGCACAGUGGGCCUGGCUCUCCUGCACUUCCAACAUUGCCUUGAGAUGCAUACACAUGCCUGCGUCCAAGGAAGAUGGAAGACACCUGGAGCAAACUUGGACUCAGCCCAUAACUUGAAGCCCAGCCCGGACCACCCCAGGUCAUCUAAACCCCAGCUAAUUUGCAAAUGUUUAUGUGAGAAUAAAUAAUUACCAUUUUAAGCCACUGAGUCUUGGAGUGAUUUUUUGCAUUAUUGUGGCAACAGCUGAGUAAUG
rnacentral:lncRNA from 10 species